UUUUCUAUGAUCUCUGUCGGAUACAGCUAUAACGUUUUGUCUUCUCUUCAGAUGAAUUAAAACAUUUCUUCUAAUUGAUUAUCAUGCUCCUUGACUCCAUCACCUCUCUUUGAUUUCUCUGAAAGACGGUGUCUCUACUUCUACAAAAGAUUCAAUAAUGGUAGAAGAUGAACUCUGGUACGGAGUGAUGAUUCGCUACAAAGAGUAUUUCCUGACAUCAUCUUUAUGCUACACGAGAACUUGGACUGAGAUGAAAAAUAUUGAGCUUUGAUAUGCAUUAAGUUUUAGAUCUUUCAGCCUCAUGCCAUGUUCAUAUGUCGAUUUUUUGAAAAUUUGACUGAGUGGAAUAUGCAUUCUUCCGCAAAGGAUCGUGAAUAUGACUCAAAGAGACAUGUAUGUUCAUGAUCGAAACAACGAUGGUUUUGUUUCUUUCUCUGAAUGUGUCUUCUCUUUUGAAUUAAUCCAUGGACGAGAGCAAGCUCAAGAGAUGCUCCACUUCAUCCACCCAUGCUGAAGCAGCUGAUUAGGCGACAGAUCCUUUGCAAAAGGAGAGCGUAGGUACAGAGCUUUUGGAGACUUAAGUUGGUUUAGUAUGGUUAAGAUGGACCUUGGAGAUGAAUAUAUUUUCUCGGUCCUAAAUCCUUUUGGAUUCUUUCCUUUAGUACUUCAACAGCAGCUCUGUGAAUGAAAUCUUUAUAUGGAGAAAAAUCGCCUCUGUUGACUUAGAUUAGGGUCCUUCACCAAUCUACAAGCAGUUCCUUACGCCAGGCGGUGUAUUCACAACUAUAAAAGACGAGCGAUGUUCCUCCACCGUUGAGGUGCGACUGCUCAGAUUCUUGGCAGCAAGGAAUGUCAAACUCGGUGGCGAGCUGAUGGCAUCGAUAUGCUUCUCCUCAUGAUUCUAAGGGACACAUAGAUGUUUCAACAAGGAGACUUAUGCAGGGGAAAGUUACUUUUACAAGCUGGUCUCCAAAGAUACUGGGAAUACAUCAGCAGCUUCACUUCUUAGAGGCUAUGCAAAGGUUGAACGUUUGACCAUGGCUGAUCACAGAGUUCAUCAUCACUACUCCAUCUCAGGAGAUUGACUUCGUUUGCCUGCACCGGGAAGGUCAACGGCAUCGAGAUGGACAAAGGGUGGUGUUAAGUUUGUUGCUCCAAGUGUACUAAGAAACUUCAGUGGACUGUCUCAUCCGUUACCUGCGUGCACUGCAACAAUACUAAUGUUGUUGGUGUCCUCCGAUGACCAUUGCUAAUGAUACUGGUGAAGGUCUAUUUGAUGGUUUUGAUUGGGAAAUGACAAACUUACAUAACAUCAGUGCCUAUGAAGCUGGUUCUGUUGGUUGGAGAGUUUGUGAACCCAUAGGAAACUCAGGUCUCCCCAUUUUUUGCAGACAUGCAGGAAGCACCGACUACUGGAGCAGCUCCAAGUGGUGCCGACAAUAAAAAGCCUCCAGCUGGAGCAGCUUCCAAGAUGGCCAAGAAAGCAUGGAUGACAUAGGUUAAGAUAAUAAGAGCUAUGGAUGCAGUAUUUCCUCUUUAAAUAAUGUUAACACAUCAGUGUUUGUUUACAAGUUUGGUUUUGUUUUCCCCCUCUGGAGCUAUGUUUGGUUCGGACAAUCUUUAUAAAAUAUAAGUUCUUUUUUAAAA